AAAUAAUCAGUCAUAAAAGGUGCAUAGUAUGUGAUUCCACUUAUCUGUGGGAUCUAGAGUAAUGAAAUCCAUAGAAACCGAAAGUAGGGUAGCAGUGGCCAGGGACUGAGGGAGGGUGGUAUGGGAAUUAAUAAAUAAGUAAACAGUUUUUUAAAUUUCAAUAUUAUAUUUCAACAUAUACAUUUUACGAUAAUUUCCAUUCAAGACAAUGAAUACAUUCAAGUACACGUGCAAAGCCCUGAGCAUGAAGGACUUGGUAGACAAUUAUUAUUUCAGUAAAUGUCAUCUGUUUUAUUUUAUUAUUACAAUAUUCCAGAAAGUCAAAAGAGCAAUUUGAAAUGUCUUUUCAAUGGGCUCAUGAGUAUGUUCGUGAGUGAAUCCAAUGACAUUCUUAUAUUUUCCAAAAUCCCUCAAUGAGAAUUUUUAUUGUUCUAGGAGGAAUCGUUGAUAAAGACCUUCGUCACUACCUCAACUUACGAUUCCAGAAGGGAUCUGUUGACCACGAACUUCAGCAAAUCAUUCGAGACAACCUCUACCUCCGCACUGUGCCAUAAUGUUGACCAUCCUAACGUGGAUAAAGCUUAAAGCCUGUUGGAAUGGUGACCCAGCGAUGGCCACUGUACAAACAGUUAAUGUGGCAACUGCAACUGUGCCAAGAGGAGGUAACUGUAGCAUGGUCCUUCCUGGUUGAUAUUGUGGACCAAAAGCUUAU
rnacentral:lncRNA from 1 species